UGAGUUGAAGCUGAAACAUAGCAUUUGGCCGUUAACCAAAAGGAUGGAGGUUAAAGUAUUCCUCUCAACUCAG
rnacentral:tRNA from 1 species